rnacentral:antisense_RNA from 1 species
AAAGAGGAAGCACAUCUUUAGUUUCCAGUAACUGGCAUUUGGUUAUGGGGUGGCUGUUUUUCUACGUGGAACAAGCAGGGUCCCAGUUCAAGUUUCUGCUGCGUAUCUGAUAAUCUUGAGGUAUUUAUGAAGGACUCCUUUGAAAGUUCUCUACUGAGUUUCCUUAAGGAAUUCCUUAAGGAAUCCUUAAGGUAUUAUUCAAUCCAGGUUUAAGUCCUUCAGCAUCUGACAUUCUCCUGGCAACUGUAAUUCAAUCAAUGAUGACUCAUCUGAGAUGAGCAAGUUGGUCCAGUCAGACCAAACAAAAGACACUCUAUAAUCAGGGGAGAAGUCUUCUCUAUAUCUUUCUUAUAUGAGCAAAUUUAAUGACCUCCACCAUGUCUAAGAACAAGCAGCUAUUUCUGUAGAGAAAGAUCACCUUUGGAUAACAAUACAUGAUUUUAGGCUCUAAAAGUUAAAACGUGUUUGUAACGUUGAUAUUAUGCAGAGGUCUUGACAGAACUUAGCAGUCUCUGAGGCUACAGAGAAGUGUGAAAAAGAGCAUAGAGAUUUCAGAAGGAGGCAGAUUCAGUCAGACAUACUGAAUCCUGUUUGAUCUCAAUUCAGGCACACUCCAGAUGGAUGGAGCAGGAAAACCCUUAGUGAAACCUGCCUCUGCAGGUUGAUGGCUUGGGAGGAGAGGCAUUAUGGAAAAUGAUUAGUUUAUGGAAAAAAUAAAUAAACAAGACUGGUCAGAAAGACUGUGAAAGAAGAACUAUAAAGGGAGAUGAAUCCAAGCAGAUAUUUAGACAUAUCAAGCCUAAUAAUGGAAGUGUGGCACUGGAAUCACGAGACUGACCAAU